AAAUUGUUAAAUGCUAUAGUUUUACUUUAAUUAACUCUAAUGUGUGUUUGCAUUUAGAUUGAAGUUACAUUCACCACCGGCAACUUGAGCGAUACGACACACAAACCUUCAUUACCAGAUGUUGAUGAGUGUCUCCAGGGCGACCUGGGGCCUUGCGGUUACCAUGCCAACUGCACAAACACACCUGGAUCCUACCUGUGCAGCUGUUUCCGUGGUUACCUGAUGAGUGCGGAAGGAUGUAAAGAUGUAGAUGAGUGUGUGUUAGCUGCAGUAACAGGUCUGCAGGCGUGUGGAAGUGGAGCCGUGUGUACAAACACACCGGGAUCUUUCACCUGCUCGUGUCCGGCGGGAUUCGUGCUGGCGCUCGACGGACACAACUGUGUCGAUGUUGACGAAUGUAAUUUCGAGGAGAGCUGCCGCAGGGAGCUGGGUAACGUGUGUGUGAAUACAGACGGCAGCUACACGUGUGUGUGUCAGGCUGGAUUCAGAGAGCACAGAGCCGCGUGUGUGGGUAAGAGUCUGUCUGUCUGUGUGUCUGUCUGUGUGUCUCUGUCUGUCUGUCUGUCUGUGUGUCUCUGUCUGUGUGUGUGUGUGUGUGUCUCUGUCUGUCUGUCUGUCUGUCUGUCUGUCUGUCUGUGAUCGUAGUAUUAACCCAUAUAUCUUUAUC
rnacentral:lncRNA from 1 species